GACGAACGCUGGCGGCGUGCUUAACACAUGCAAGUCGAACGGCAACGCCCUGCUUUUGUGGGGUGCUCGAGUGGCGAACGGGUGAGUAACACGUGUGUAACCUGCCCUUGACUUUGGGAUACCUUCGGUAAACUCGGGCUCAUACCGGCUAUGAGCUCCUGCUGCUUGUUGGGGUUUGUUAAGUUUUGGCGGUUGGGGAUGGACUCGCGGCUUAUCAUCUUGUUGUUGGGGUAGUGACUUACACAGGCUUUGACGGGUAGCCGGCCUGAGAGGGUGACCAGCCACAUUGCGAAUGAGAAACGGACCAGACAGCGAAGAGAAGCAGCAGUGGGGAAGAAGGCACAAUGGGCGGAAGCCUGAGGGAGCAACGCGGCGUGCGGGAUGAGGGCCGUCGGGUUGUAGACCGCAUAAGCCUGUGACGAAGCGUGGGUGACGGUAAUAGGUGAAGAAGCACCGGCUAACUACGUG
rnacentral:rRNA from 1 species